UACGUAGGGAGCAAGCGUUGUUCGGAAUUACUGGGCGUAAAGCGCAUGUAGGCGGCAGCGCAAGUCGGGCGUGAAAUCCCACGGCUCAACCGUGGAAGUGCACUCGAAACUGCGCAGCUAGAGUCCUGGAGAGGAAGGUGGAAUGCUUGGUGUAGAGGUGAAAUUCGUAGAUAUCAAGCGGAACACCGGUGGCGAAGGCGGCCUUCUGGACAGUGACUGACGCUGAGAUGCGAAAGCGUGGGGAGCAAACAGG
rnacentral:rRNA from 1 species